rnacentral:misc_RNA from 1 species
GUGAAUCAUCGAAUUUUUGAACGCAAAUUGCACUCCCCUCGGAGAGUAUGCCUGUUUGAGGGUCAGCCUAAAAAAAAUCGACAUCGUUGCUGUUUCGCGGUGACGUUCGUCGGACACUGGGUUAUCUUAAACCUUUUGUCUUAUGCGACUUAUAAUUUUCUUUUUGAUUCCAUGCACGCUUCUAAGAUUGAUUUCUUUACACGUUUAAGGUUUC